rnacentral:rRNA from 1 species
UAGUCAUAUGCUUGUCUCAAAGAUUAAGCCAUGCAUGUCUCGGUAUAAAUUCUUGUACGAUGAAACUGCGAAUGGCUCAUUACAUCAGUUACAAUCUACACCCUGAUUAUUAUACGGAUACCUAGGGUAAUUCUCUUGCUAACACGUGCCUGAAAUCCUCUGGAUGUCAUUGCUAGCUUGAGAUCAACUCACAAGUUCACUUGUGACCCUGGUGAAUCAUAGCAAUUUGAAUUUAUCGCUCUUCGCGAAGCAGGGUUCGAGUUUCUGACCUAUCAUGUUUGACGGUUGUGUAUUGGACCACCGUGCAGUUGACGGGUAACAGAGAAUUAGGGUUUGAUUCUGGAGAGGGUGCCUGAGAAACGGCAACCACAUCUAAGGAAGGCAGCAGGCACGCAAAUUACCCAAUCCUGACACAGAGAGG